rnacentral:rRNA from 1 species
UACGUAGGGUGCGAGCGUUAAUCGGAAUUACUGGGCGUAAAGCGUGCGCAGGCGGUUCGUUAAGUCAGAUGUGAAAUCCCCGGGCUUAACCUGGGAACUGCGUUUGAAACUACAAGGCUAGAGUGUGGCAGAGGGGGGUGGAAUUCCACGUGUAGCAGUGAAAUGCGUAGAGAUGUGGAGGAACACCGAUGGCGAAGGCAGCCCCCUGGGUUAACACUGACGCUCAGGCACGAAAGCGUGGGGAGCAAACAGG